GGUGGACAUGGACUCCAUGGAAGCCUGAGCUGCCAGGGGCUUCCCUGGGGCAGCACUGCUUCGCGUAGGCUCACGAGAAACUUCCAGGGUUCCUGGCGCCAGCCUUUCAACAGAGCAGCACAUUAUGCCUGGAUAAGACUCAAAGAGCAGCUUAAUAUCAGGUUCUCUGGGGCUGUAAUCAUCGGUUCAGGAUGGAGCAGACACAGCCGCAGCAAGGCCUCUGUGCAGCCCCCGGUUUAAAACACAUCAACGCAUCCGUGGGCACUUUUGUGAGUUAAAGCUCAACUUACACAUCUGCCUGUAUCCAUAGGAAAUGAAUGAAAAUAAACAAACAAAUUCCUUGCAUUCAACGCAGCGUAAGAAAAAUCACAUCCUGUUCCCCAGUAGCUGAGGAAAGCCGGCUCACGAGAGUAUACAGGGAGAAGAGGCCAGCAUUGUGUGGCUGCCAGCAAAGCUCACUUGUAUGUCAAAUGCAGCGCUUUUCUUAGCCCA
rnacentral:lncRNA from 1 species